CGAGAAAGCCCGCAAGGGUGAGUAAAGCGGCGCACGGGUGCGUAACACGUGGAUAAUCUGCCCUGGAGUCCGGAACAACUCGCCGAAAGGCGAGCUAAUGCCGGAUGAGACCACGGGGGCUUCGGCCCCUGAGGGAAAAGGUGGCCUCUGUACACAAGCUAUCGCUUCAGGAUGAGUCCGCGGCCCAUCAGCUGGUUGGCGGGGUAAUGGCCCACCAAGGCGACGACGGGUAGCUGGUCUGAGAGGACGAUCAGCCACACUGGAACUGAAACACGGUCCAGACUCCUACGGGAGGCAGCAGUGGGGAAUCUUGCGCAAUGGGCGAAAGCCUGACGCAGCAACGCCGCGUGUGUGAUGAAGGUCUUCGGAUCGUAAAGCACUGUCGCGAGGGACG
rnacentral:rRNA from 1 species